GACGAACGCUGGCGGCGUGCCUAAUACAUGCAAGUUGAGCGCUGAAGGUUGGUACUUGUACCCACUGGAUGAGCAGCGAACGGGUGAGUAACGCGUGGGGAAUCUGCCUUUGAGCGGGGGACAACAUUUGGAAACGAAUGCUAAUACCGCAUAAAAACUUUAAACACAAGUUUUAAGUUUGAAAGAUGCAAUUGCAUCACUCAAAGAUGAUCCCGCGUUGUAUUAGCUAGUUGGUGAGGUAAAGGCUCACCAAGGCGAUGAUACAUAGCCGACCUGAGAGGGUGAUCGGCCACAUUGGGACUGAGACACGGCCCAAACUCCUACGGGAGGCAGCAGUAGGGAAUCUUCGGCAAUAGACGAAAGUCUGACCGAGCAACGCCGCGUGAGUGAAGAAGGUUGUCGGAUCGUAAAACUCUGUUGGUAGAGAAGAACGUUGGUGAGAGUGGAAAGCUCAUCAAGUGACGGUAACUACCCAGAAAGGGACGGCUAACUACGUG
rnacentral:rRNA from 1 species